UUUAUUAGAGUAUAUAGGUGAUAUGAAAAUAUUGGUUAUGCUUAGUGUGUGUGUGCCAGCUGGAAUGCCAGCUGGACACAGUUGUUAAUUCUGUUUUGAACAGCUGUCAAUUCUGUUAGAGGAACAGCUGUCAAUUCUGUUAGAGGUUGUUACCAUUCAGUUAGAGUUAGCUUAGCUGUUAGUUUAGCUUGUAGAGCAAGCUUCUUCAAUCCUAUAUAAGGAUUCAAUCCUCAUUGUAUCGGUUAACAAUUCAUAGUGAAUAUUUCAU
rnacentral:lncRNA from 1 species